GGAGGGUGCGAGCGUUAAUCGGAAUUACUGGGCGUAAAGCGCGCGUAGGCGGCUUGGUCAGUCGGAUGUGAAAGCCCCGGGCUUAACCUGGGAAUUGCAUUCGAUACUGCCAGACUAGAGUAUGGGAGAGGGAAGCGGAAUUUCCGGUGUAGCGGUGAAAUGCGUAGAUAUCGGAAGGAACACCAGUGGCGAAGGCGGCUUCCUGGCCCAAUACUGACGCUGAGGUGCGAAAGCGUGGGGAGCGAACAGGGAUUAGAUACCCUGGUAGUCCACGCCGUAAACGAUGAGAACUAGAUGUCGGGAGGAUUUGCCUCUCGGUGUCGCAGCUAACGCGUUAAGUUCACCGCCUGGGGAUACGCCGGCAACGGUA
rnacentral:rRNA from 1 species